rnacentral:rRNA from 1 species
GUGGGGAAUCUUGCGCAAUGGGCGAAAGCCUGACGCAGCCAUGCCGCGUGAAUGAUGAAGGUCUUAGGAUUGUAAAAUUCUUUCACCGGGGACGAUAAUGACGGUACCCGGAGAAGAAGCCCCGGCUAACUUCGUGCCAGCAGCCGCGGUAAUACGAAGGGGGCUAGCGUUGCUCGGAAUUACUGGGCGUAAAGGGCGCGUAGGCUGACAGUUUUGUCAGAGGUGAAAGCCCAGGGCUCAACCUUGGAAUUGCCUUUGAUACUGGCUGUAUUGAGUACGGGAGAGGUGAGUGGAACUCCGAGUGUAGAGGUGAAAUUCGUAGAUAUUCGGAAGAACACCAGUGGCGAAGGCGACUCACUGGCCCGUUACUGACGCUGAGGCGCGAAAGCGUGGGGAGCAAACAGGAUUAGAAACCCCGGUAGUCC